CAGUCGCCGCGGGAAUACGAAGGGGGCUAGCGUUGCUCGGAAUCACUGGGCGUAAAGGGUGCGUAGGCGGGUUUCUAAGUCAGGGGUGAAAUCCUGGAGCUCAACUCCAGAACUGCCCUUGAUACUGGAAGUCUUGAGUAUGGGAGAGGUGAGUGAAACUGCGAGUGUAGAGGUGAAAUUCGUAGGUAUUCGCAAGAACACCAGUGGCGAAGGCGGCUCACUGGCCCAUAACUGACGCUGAGGCACGAAAGCGUGGGGAGCAAACAGGAUUAGAUACCCCAGUAGUCCCUGUCUCUUAUAA
rnacentral:rRNA from 1 species